AUGGUUCCUCCAGAGCCUCUAGAACUAAAAGGAGACAAGAAGAUGGAAAGAGUCGCAGCCGGCGCUCCUUUCACCUGGAUUGCAUGAAACUUUGUGAAUUUCCCUAAGGAUGCUAAUGAUGACCAGGUCAAGACAUAUUCUCGUGUCUACAUGUGGUACAUUAUAUCCAGGACUAUGUUUGUUGACGCCUCAGGCAAGAAUGCGCCAUGGAUGUGGCUGAAGGCGUUGACCGUCUUUGAUAGCAAAUGGAGUUGGGGUUUAGGCGACACUGGCUUACUUAUAUAG
rnacentral:rRNA from 1 species